UGGGGAAUAUUGCACAAUGGGCGCAAGCCUGAUGCAGCCAUGCCGCGUGUAUGAAGAAGGCCUUCGGGUUGUAAAGUACUUUCAGCGGGGAGGAAGGUGUUGUGGUUAAUAACCUCAGCAAUUGACGUUACCCGCAGAAGAAGCACCGGCUAACUCCGUGCCAGCAGCCGCGGUAAUACGGAGGGUGCAAGCGUUAAUCGGAAUUACUGGGCGUAAAGCGCACGCAGGCGGUUUGUCAAGUCGGAUGUGAAAUCCCCGGGCUCAACCUGGGAACUGCAUCCGAAACUGGCAGGCUUGAGUCUUGUAGAGGGGGGUAGAAUUCCAGGUGUAGCGGUGAAAUGCGUAGAGAUCUGGAGGAAUACCGGUGGCGAAGGCGGCCCCCUGGACAAAGACUGACGCUCAGGUGCGAAAGCGUGGGGAGCAAACA
rnacentral:rRNA from 1 species